rnacentral:tRNA from 1 species
CAAAACGUAGCUUAACUAAAGCAUCCCGCUUACACCGGGAACAUGUCUGCUAAACCCAGAUCGUUCUGA